rnacentral:rRNA from 1 species
UAGGGAAUCUUCCGCAAUGGACGAAAGUCUGACGGAGCAACGCCGCGUGAGUGAAGAAGGACUUCGGUUCGUAAAACUCUGUUGUUAGGGAAGAAAAAAUGUAUAGUAACUAUAUACAAAAGAGACGGUACCUAACCAGAAAGCCACGGCUAACUACGUGCCAGCAGCCGCGGUAAUACGUAGGUGGCAAGCGUUGUCCGGAAUUAUUGGGCGUAAAGCUCGCGCAGGUGGUUUGGAAAGUCUGAUGUGAAAGCACACGGCUCAACCGUGGAAAGUCAUUGGAAACUAGUAAACUUGAGUGCAGGAGAGAAAAGUGGAAUUCCUAGUGUAGCGGUGAAAUGCGUAGGGAUUAGGAAGAACACCGGUGGCGAAAGCGGCUUUUUGGCCUGCAACUGACACUGAGGCGCGAAAGCGUGGGGAGCAAACAGG